GAUGGCCGAGACACAGGCAUCGAGCUUUUAACUCGAUUACAGUCACUGAACUUCAGGAUA
rnacentral:tRNA from 1 species